ACAAUGGGCGAAAGCCUGAUGCAGCAACGCCGCGUGAGGGAUGACGGCCUUCGGGUUGUAAACCUCUUUUAGCAGGGAAGAAGCGAAAGUGACGGUACCUGCAGAAAAAGCGCCGGCUAACUAC
rnacentral:rRNA from 1 species